rnacentral:rRNA from 1 species
AUACGGAGGGUCCAAGCGUUAUCCGGAAUCAUUGGGUUUAAAGGGUCCGCAGGCGGUCAAUUAAGUCAGAGGUGAAAGCCCAUCGCUCAACGAUGGAACUGCCUUUGAUACUGGUUGACUUGGGUUAUACGGAAGUAGAUAGAAUAAGUAGUGUAGCGGUGAAAUGCAUAGAUAUUACUUAGAAUACCGAUUGCGAAGGCAGUCUACUACGUAUAUACUGACGCUGAGGGACGAAAGCGUGGGGAGCGAACAGGAUGAGAAACCCUAGUAGUCC